ACCUCAGUGGUGUAGUGAUUGCAUGCGGGCCCUGGUAUGGUUGAAACGUGGGUUCAACUCACGUCUGAGGCC